GACGAACGCUGGCGGCGUGCUUAACACAUGCAAGUCGAACGGAAAGGCCCUGCUUUUGUGGGGUUCUCGAGUGGCGAACGGGUGAGUAACACGUGAGUAACCUGCCCUUGACUUUGGGAUAACUUUAGGAAACUCGGGCUAAUACCGGGUAGGAGCUCCUGCUGCAUGGUGGUGGUUGGAAAGUUUCGGCUGUUGGGGAUGGACUCGCGGCUUAUCAGCUUGUUGGUGGGGUAGUGGCUUACCAAGGCUUUGACGGGUAGCCGGCCUGGGAGGGUGACCGGCGACAUUGGGACUGAGAUACGCACCAGAAUCCUACGGGAGGCAGCAGUGGGGAAUCUGGCACAAUGGGCGGACGUCUGAUGCAGCAACGCCGCGUGCGGGAUGCCGGCUUUCGGGUUGUAAACCGAUUUCGACUGUGACGAAGCGUGAGUGACGGUAAUGGGUAAAGAAGCACCGGCUAACUACGUG
rnacentral:rRNA from 1 species